UACGUAGGGGGCAAGCGUUGUUCGGAAUUACUGGGCGUAAAGAGCUCGUAGGCGGCUUGUUGCGUCGUCCGUGAAAACCUGUGGCUCAACUACAGGCUUGCGGUCGAUACGGGCGGGCUGGAGUUCGGUAGGGGAGACUGGAAUUCCUGGUGUAGCGGUGAAAUGCGCAGAUAUCAGGAGGAACACCGGUGGCGAAGGCGGGUCUCUGGGCCGAUACUGACGCUGAGGAGCGAAAGCGUGGGGAGCGAACAGG
rnacentral:rRNA from 1 species